rnacentral:sRNA from 1 species
GUUUUGUUUUGUUUUCUCUGGUUUA